GGUGCGAUCAUACCAGCACUAAUGCACCGGAUCC
rnacentral:rRNA from 5 species